rnacentral:rRNA from 1 species
GGAACCAUGCCGUCCCAGAAUUUACCCGUUUGGUCCCUUGACAGGCCUCUGAAACCAAGACGACCGAUUUUGGUCGGGGUCAGUAUUAGCCCCGCAGUGACCGAAAGGGAAUCGGGUUAAUAAUCCCGAACCCGGACACGGAGAUUGGUCCUUCGGGGCCCAGUGCGGUAACGCAAACCAGCUCGGAGACGCCGAUGCGAGCCCCGGGAAGAGUUUUCUUUUAUCUGUAAGUCUGUAAGGAGAUCGAGUCUCUGGAAUGGGUUCGCCCCGAGAUAGGGAUGGUGGCUCCGUAGAGCAGUGCGGCUCUUGCGCUGUCCGGUGCGCUCGCGUCGGCCCUUGAAAAUCCGAGUGAGGGAGUGUGAUUUUCAUGCCGGACCGUACCCACAUCCGCAGCAGGUCUCCAAGGUGAACAGCCU